rnacentral:rRNA from 1 species
AUUGAACGCUGGCGGCAGGCCUAACACAUGCAAGUCGAACGGCAGCACAGAAGAGCUUGCUCUUUGGGUGGCGAGUGGCGGACGGGUGAGUAAUGUCUGGGAAACUGCCCGAUGGAGGGGGAUAACUACUGGAAACGGUAGCUAAUACCGCAUAACGUCGCAAGACCAAAGUGGGGGACCUUCGGGCCUCACACCAUCGGCUGUGCCCAGAUGGGAUUAGCUAGUAGGUGGGGUAAUGGCUCACCUAGGCGACGAUCCCUAGCUGGUCUGAGAGGAUGACCAGCCACACUGGAACUGAGACACGGUCCAGACUCCUACGGGAGGCAGCAGUGGGGAAUAUUGCACAAUGGGCGCAAGCCUGAUGCAGCCAUGCCGCGUGUAUGAAGAAGACCUUCGGGUUGUAAAGUACUUUCAGCGGGGAGGAAGGCGGUGAGGUUAAUAACCUUGCCGGUUGACGUUACCCGCAGAAGAAGCACCGGCUAACUCCGUGCCAGCCGCCGCGGUAAAAC